UACGUAGGCAGCGAGAGUUGUUCGGAAUUACUGGGCGUAAAGAGUGUGUAGGCGGUGUUCCCAGUCUGUUGUGAAAUCUCCCGGCUUAACUGGGAGGGUGCAGCGGAAACUAGAAUGCUAGAGGGUGGGAGAGGUAAGCGGAAUUCCUGGUGUAGCGGUGAAAUGCGUAGAUAUCAGGAGGAACACCGGUGGUGUAGACGGCUUUCUGGACCGUAACUGACGCUGAGACACGAAAGCGUGGGUAGCAAACAGG
rnacentral:rRNA from 1 species